GAUUUCAGCUGAAAAAGUCAUCAACAAUAAAGUUGUAUAACUCAUCAAGAUCUAUAACUUCUAUUUUGGUCAUUUCUUCAUCCGAUAAAGUGAUAGUAACAUAUUCUUAAAAUUUACAUAUAUCUCUUAUAAUUUAUAAAACUAUAAGAGAUAUGUACAUUUUGUGAAUAAUGUUACAAAUCACUUUGUCGGAUGAAGAAAUGACCAAAAUCGAAGUUAUAGAUCUUGAUGAGUUAUACAAUUUUGUUGUUGAUGACUUUUUCGGUUGAAAUC
rnacentral:pre_miRNA from 1 species